rnacentral:misc_RNA from 1 species
GAUGAAGAACGCAGCGAAAUGCGAUACGUAGUGUGAAUUGCAGAAUUCAGUGAAUCAUCGAAUCUUUGAACGCACAUUGCACCUCUCGGUAUUCCGGGAGGUAUGCCUGUUCGAGCGUCAUUUGUACCCUCAAGCUCUGCUUGGUGUUGGGUGUUUGUUCCGCCUCUGUGUGUGAACUCGCCUCAAAACAAGUGGCAGCCGGCGUACUUGUUUCGGAGCGCAGCACAUUUUGCGAUCCAGAUCAACGUACAGCGGCAUCCAAGAAGCCUUAUUUAACGCUCUUGACCUCGGAUCAGGUAGGGAUACCCGCUGAACUUAAGCAUAUCAAUAAGCGGAGGA